GCUGUGGUGGAGGUGAUGACAGUUGAUACCCACGUCAGAGCGACAGUGUUGAUUUCCCGCUGUUAAAGCCAGAUCGUGUCUGAUACACCAGC
rnacentral:snoRNA from 1 species